rnacentral:rRNA from 1 species
UCUUUUCCUUGUGUGCCAGCAGCCGCGGUAAUACGUAGGGGGCAAGCGUUAUCCGGAAUUACUGGGUGUAAAGGGUGCGUAGGUGGUAUGGCAAGUCAGAAGUGAAAACCCAGGGCUUAACUCUGGGACUGCUUUUGAAACUGUCAGACUGGAGUGCAGGAGAGGUAAGCGGAAUUCCUAGUGUAGCGGUGAAAUGCUUAGAUAUCACGAAGAACUCCGAUUGCGAAGGCAGCUCACUGGAGCGCAACUGACGCUGAAGCUCGAAAGUGCGGGUAUCGAACAGG